GACAUGUGGACAGUAUGGGAGUGAGAAUGUUGGCAUGAGUAGCGAGAUGUGGGUGAGAAUCCCACAGGCCGUAAACCCAAGGUUUCCAGGGGAAGGUUCGUCCGCCCUGGGUUAGUCGGGACCUAAGCUGAGGCCGAAAGGCGUAGGUGAUGGACAACAGGUUGAUAUUCCUGUACUACCGAUAACCGUUUGAGAGAAGGGAUGACACAGUAGGAUAAGCUAAGCACACUGUUGGUUAUGUGUGCCCAAGCAUUGAGGCAGUCAAAGUAGGCAAAUCCGCUUUGAUAAUGCUGGGAUGUGAUGGGGAGCGAAAUUUAGUAGCGAAGUAGCUGAUUUCACACUGUCAAGAAAAGUCUCUAUCGAGGUUAAAGGUACCCGUACCGCAAACCGACACAGGUG
rnacentral:rRNA from 1 species